UCAAGCACUGUUUAAUAUAGAUACAAAACUGUUCUCUUCUAGCUUUCCUUCAGCCUGCAACCACUCUGUGACAAACUCACCACACAACAGUCAGACAUGUAGGUGUACCCUCUCAGUCAGACAACUAGGUGUAAUCGCUCAGUCAGACAGCUAGGUGUACCCUCUCAGUCAGACAGCUAAGUGUACCCUCUCAGUCAGACAACUAGGUGUAAUCUCUCAGUCAGACAGCUAGCUAAGUAUACCCUCUCAGUCAGACAGCUAGGUGUACCCUCUCAGUCAGAUAGCUAGGUGUACCCUCUCAGUCAGACAGCUAGGUGUAAUCUCUCAGUCAGACACAGAUACACUACAGAGACUCUGGAUAUGUACAGACACUUUCAC